rnacentral:rRNA from 1 species
UAGGGGAAUCUUCCACAAUGGGCGGAAAGCCUGAUGGAGCAACGCCGCGUGUGUGAUGAAGGGUUUCGGCUCGUAAACACUGUUGUAAGAGAAGAAUGACAUUGAGAGUAACUGUUCAAUGUGUGACGGUAUCUUACCAGAAAGGAACGGCUAAAUACGCGCCAG